GCCCUGCUGCUGCCGCCUGCUCUCGUCUACUUUAAAGGCGAGGCGCACUUCAUCUCGAACAAGCCUACUGUAAUACACCCACGUAUUCGACCAGCUAUUAAACACACAGAAGCGAGAAGACUGUUAGGCUACAAUAAUUAAUGCAAUUAUUAAAUCAACAAUAUGAAGUUUCUACCGGAUCUGCUGUGUUUAUGUCUUCUGUGUUUGUUUGGAAAAACAUUUUGUGAUGAAGAAGGGUCAGUGGUUAUCUACGUGGACGAAGGGAGACAUGUUACGUUACCCUGUUCCCUCGGCACCAAAAAGAACAUUGAGUCAAACCUGUUUGACUGGAAGAAAGAUGAUCAGAUGGUGGUGUUCACGUAUGAUGGAGGCUUUGAUUACAAUAACAACCAUUGGCGUCAGAGUGAGCAGUUCAAAGGUUGAGUCUUUAAUUUUCCAGAUGAACUGAAGAACGGCAACGCCUCCAUACUCAUCAGAAAUGUGAAGGUGGCUGACCGUGGAAACUACACCUGUGAUUUUCCAUAUCAGCAGAAAAGAGACAACAUCCACAUUAAGCUUGUUGUUGUUGCAUCUCCAAAGCCAUACGUCACAAUACAGUCAACUGUCACAACAAUGCGUAGUCAAAUAGAGGAUGGGGUGCUGCUGCAGUGUGAAGUCCGAGGUGCUUCUCCAGAACCUAGAGUAGAGUGGCAGGACAGUGCUGGAAACAUCCUUCCUGCUGAGGAGCCACUGGUCUCAGAAAGAGGAGGCAGCUACCACAUCACCCUCCAAACUACGGUGACCAAGACCGACCGCUAUCGCUGUGUUGUCACUCAAGAGGAAAUAAACCGUGUGACUGAUGGUUUGACUUAUGUGCCUGUUUGUGACAGCAGCGCGACCAUUAGGACCAGGACAAUAUUUUUUGUAGUAUUUGGUAUACUACUAGUCAUGACGGUAGCUAUGUCUAUAGUUACAAUGAUAUUCAUUAAAAGAACUAGAGGUAAGUUUAAAUAAUAUUGUACAACAUAUCCAGUCUUGACACUUGUUUGUCUUCUCAGAUAUGAACCAUUCUGUUGGUAUUUAGAUUUAUGCAAAAUCCACUGAGAAUACAUUUAUAUACAGUAUAAGGCCUCUGGUUCUAAUAAAGAAUACAUAAAAAAUAAUAUAGCAAAGUUAUGACUGUAUGUUGGAAUGAGUCCUAAAACCCAGAAAUGAGUUAGCAUUUUUGCACUUCCAGUUCCCUCGUCUCCAAACCAAUAGAUUUGUCAAUGGCUUGUUGGUUAGAUGCCUGAAAUAAGGUGUGUGGUUAGCACAAGCUCAAGAGAUAUUCACGUUUGGUCCUGUUCAGACCUGUUCUGGUCCUGUUUAUUAUUGAAGCAAAUUAUACUAUAAAUAUUUUGAUUAACGCAAUAACUGUAUAAUAAAAUGAUUCACAAAUGUUAGAGGCCUAAUGCAGAGAUGUUUAAGGCCUUAACUGUACAGUAUAUCUCAGACCAAAACCCUUGUGACUAACAUAAAUGUUUUUUUACCACAAUUAAUAGUCUAAAUACAGGGAUUUUGGGAACAAUUGGUUAUAAUGUACAGUGUUCCUGUUCCAGAGGUGUGUGUAGAGCAAAGAGGAUGACGAUUGGGAUGUUAUAAUUUACUUAGAUUGUGUUUUAUUCUUAAAAUGAUUCAUUAUAUUUGAUGUAGGACCUUUUUUAAUCAUGCAACAACAAACACAAAGCAGUAGGCGUCUCCACCUGCUAUUCUAUUUCAUGUAUGUGCAGCGGCACAAAGUAUAAAAAGAGCUGGGAGAGAUGAAUAUAGAUCAGAGGUUGUGGUGAUAGCCAAUCAAAUUGCAACAAUCGUGUCAUCUGCAUAUUUAAGAAUGUGCCUGUCCUUGACUUCUGCAGUUGUUUGAGUAAAUAAUAAAGAUUUAAAUGACGUUUGUUCUUAACAUCUUAGAGAGAAUGCUCCAGGAAUUCCAGAAACGCAAAACUGUCCGUCGUAAAAGUAAGACUAAACAUGAAGAUCUUCAUUCACAUUCUGGUACAGUAUACAUGUAUACAGUAGUACAGUACAAUAUGGGGUCAGGAGCAGGGGUGUCAGACUGUGGGGAGAAAGGGGAUUGAAUAUACAGGGCCAUAAUGUGAGGAGGGCCCACAAAACUACUACAAUGAAUAGCUGUGGAUGCGGGGAGGGGCCCUUAGAGAAUGCCUGUGUACAGGGUCCGGAAUUUGGUGCUACGCCCCUGGUCAGGAGCUGCAGUGUAACCAGGGUUGAGACAUGAGUAACCUAAAAGUGAUCAAAUACAUUUGAUUAUCAAUUACAAACUGAGAGUUAACAGUCUUUUCAAGAAGGAAAAAAUUAAUAAUACUUUUAAAAAUGUUUGUGAGGG